rnacentral:rRNA from 1 species
AUUGAACGCUGGCGGCAGGCCUAACACAUGCAAGUCGAGCGAGCGGCGGACGGGUGAGUAAGGUAUGGGGAUCUGCCCGAGAGAGGGGGACAACUAAUGGAAACUGUGACCACUACCGCAUACUAUCGGAUGAACCUAUCUGGGAUUAGCUAGUAGUGGGGGUAAAGGCUCACCUAGGCGACGAUCUCGAGCUGGUCUGAGAGGAUGAUCAGCCACACUGGGACUGAGACACGGCCCAGACUCCUACGGGAGGCAGCAGUGGGGAAUAUUGCACAAUGGGCGCAAGCCUGAUGCAGCCAUGCCGCGUGUAUGAAGAAGGCCUUAGGGUUGUAAAGUACUUUCAGCUGGGAGGCGUUACCCGCAGAAGAAGCACCGGCUAACUCCGUGCCAGCAGCCGCGGUAAUUC